GAAAACCUGAAAUUCACUCGAAUAGACGUUUCCUCGCAUGUGUGAGUUUUGGCACUAAACUGACGCCUAGUGUGUAGGUUUGGUCGCAUCAAUUAGUAGGAAUAUAGGACUCAUCGUUAUAUUUUCGUAAGUGUAUCAUUGUGUUUUCGUUCUACAUAGGAAACGGGUCGUCUGCAAUGAUUCUACAGUUGCCCAUAACAGACAAACCAAAACCCUAGCUCGGGAUGGGGCUUUUCGUGUUAUGGCGUUUGACGGUCACCAUAGGUCCGAAAGGAACUGGCUGCCGUACUGGUCCUCGAGUCUCAAGUCAGCAUUGGUACAGUCUUGAUAAAUCAGGGUGUCAAUGGGACAUCCACAUAUGUCAUCUGGAAGGGGUCUCUUGAUGAUAUCACCAACCGCAAGGGUAAGAUUACUACCCUGCAUGAGGGAGAGGACUUUGGGCAGCUAGCCCUGAUAAACAAAAUGCCCCAAGACAUCUCAGUCGUCAUUCGAAAGCAUGACUGUCACUUCCUCCGAGUGGGAAACCUGGACUUUGUGAGCAUCCUUAAGGAUGUGAAUGCAAACAUAGUACAUGUGGAAGAGAAUGGCAUACCUGCACUGAUCCUUCAGAGGAGCUCCAGCCAGGUGGUUACCGAAGAUGCACCAGAAUAUGCAUCUUGCAGCAACAACUUUUUGGUGAAGUUGGGAACACCAGCCAAGAUUCUGCAGUUCUUGCUGGGCUCAAUCAAACUGAACACAACUGAU